GGGUUGUGAGGUUAAGCGACUAAGCGUACACGGUGGAUGCCCUGGCAGUCAGAGGCGAUGAAGGACGUGCUAAUCUGCGAUAAGCGUCGGUAAGGUGAUAUGAACCGUUAUAACCGGCGAUUUCCGAAUGGGGAAACCCAGUGUGUUUCGACACACUAUCAUUAACUGAAUCCAUAGGUUAAUGAGGCGAACCGGGGGAACUGAAACAUCUAAGUACCCCGAGGAAAAGAAAUCAACCGAGAUUCCCCCAGUAGCGGCGAGCGAACGGGGAGGAGCCCAGAGC
rnacentral:rRNA from 1 species